ACAGCAGCCGCCGCGGGAAUACGUAGGUGGCAAGCGUUGUCCGGAAUUAUUGGGCGUAAAGGGCUCGCAGGCGGUUUCUUAAGUCUGAUGUGAAAGCCCCCGGCUCAACCGGGGAGGGUCAUUGGAAACUGGGAAACUUGAGUGCAGAAGAGGAGAGUGGAAUUCCACGUGUAGCGGUGAAAUGCGUAGAGAUGUGGAGGAACACCAGUGGCGAAGGCGACUCUCUGGUCUGUAACUGACGCUGAGGCGCGAAAGCCAGGGGAGCGAACGGGAUUAGAUACCCCCGUAGUCCCUGUCUCUUAUAC
rnacentral:rRNA from 1 species